UACGGAGGGUGCAAGCGUUAUCCGGAUUCACUGGGUUUAAAGGGUGCGUAGGUGGGAAUGUAAGUCAGUGGUGAAAUCUCCGUGCUUAACACGGAACUGCCAUUGAUACUAUGUUUCUUGAAUUUUCUGGAGGUUAGCGGAAUAUGUCAUGUAGCGGUGAAAUGCUUAGAUAUGACAUAGAACACCAAUUGCGAAGGCAGCUAACUACAGGGAUAUUGACACUGAGGCACGAAAGCGUGGGGAUCAAACAGG
rnacentral:rRNA from 1 species